GGAUAACUCCGGGAAACCGGGGCUAAUACCGGAUGCUUGUUUGAACCGCAUGGUUCAAACAUAAAAGGUGGCUUCGGCUACCACUUACAGAUGGACCCGCGGCGCAUUAGCUAGUUGGUGAGGUAACGGCUCACCAAGGCAACGAUGCGUAGCCGACCUGAGAGGGUGAUCGGCCACACUGGGACUGAGACACGGCCCAGACUCCUACGGGAGGCAGCAGUAGGGAAUCUUCCGCAAUGGACGAAAGUCUGACGGAGCAACGCCGCGUGAGUGAUGAAGGUUUUCGGAUCGUAAAGCUCUGUUGUUAGGGAAGAACAAGUGCCGUUCAAAUAGGGCGGCACCUUGACGGUACCUAACCAGAAAGCCACGGCUAACUACGUGCCAGCAGCCGCGGUAAUACGUAGGUGGCAAGCGUUGUCCGGAAUUAUUGGGCGUAAAGGGCUCGCAGGCGGUUUCUUAAGUCUGAUGUGAAAGCCCCCGGCUCAACCGGGGAGGGUCAUUGGAAACUGGGGAACUUGAGUGCAGAAGAGGAGAGUGGAAUUCCACGUGUAGCGGUGAAAUGCGUAGAGAUGUGGAGGAACACCAGUGGCGAAGGCGACUCUCUGGUCUGUAACUGACGCUGAGGAGCGAAAGCGUGGGGAGCGAACAGGAUUAGAUACCCUGGUAGUCCACGCCGUAAACGAUGAGUGCUAAGUGUUAGGGGGUUUCCGCCCCUUAGUGCUGCAGCUAACGCAUUAAGCACUCCGCCUGGGGAGUACGGUCGCAAGACUGAAACUCAAAGGAAUUGACGGGGGCCCGCACAAGCGGUGGAGCAUGUGGUUUAAUUCGAAGCAACGCGAAGAACCUUACCAGGUCUUGACAUCCUCUGACAACCCUAGAGAUAGGGCUUCCCCUUCGGGGGCAGAGUGACAGGUGGUGCAUGGUUGUCGUCAGCUCGUGUCGUGAGAUGUUGGGUUAAGUCCCGCAACGAGCGCAACCCUUGAUCUUAGUUGCCAGCAUUCAGUUGGGCACUCUAAGGUGACUGCCGGUGACAAACCGGAGGAAGGUGGGGAUGACGUCAAAUCAUCAUGCCCCUUAUGACCUGGGCUACACACGUGCUACAAUGGACAGAACAAAGGGCAGCGAGACCGCGAGGUUAAGCCAAUCCCACAAAUCUGUUCUCAGUUCG
rnacentral:rRNA from 1 species